rnacentral:misc_RNA from 1 species
AUUGGGAUGUCCAUUAACAGGCCGGCGUAUCUCCAUCUUAAAGACAAUAUUGUCGUCUGCAACCUCCUCAUGAUCGCAGUUGCGGCAGGCAUAGAGGAGGACGCUCUGCACCUUGUCUUCCUUAGGGUACAGCACAUUGUUGCAGUCGGGGCAGAACUUCAUUGUACUCAUGGCUUGCUGCUUCCUUCUCCUCCGCGCUGGGGCGGAGGGUACGAGGGGGGUGAGGGUUAAGAGGUUUGAGG